AGCUGACGCGUGAGCAUGAGAAUGCUCAGCAGCUGUGCAGUCCUACGGGAGUGAAUGAACUCGACACACACACUCUGGUGUGGAAGCGCUUGCAUCCAGCAUGCACAGAAGUCCAGCAAUGCAGAAAGAAAAGCACAGACGUCUCAAGAUGCUCCUAUCAAAUGAAGACUUCGGGUCACACAGACACUAAGAGGCAACGAAGCAGUCGUACUACCCACCCAUCUGUAGCUCGGAAAUGCUCUCCACCAGCGACCAGUCCAAACUGUAGCCACAGUGGGAUUUGUCCAUCAGGUUGUCCAGCACUUGUCUCACCGUCUGUCUCUCGUCCACCAUCAUUGUCUUAGAACUGUCGUCAGCCAUGUGGACCCUGAUCACCAGCUGCGACAGGCUGUGUCUCCUUACAGGCUUCCGUUACUGCCGUGCCCUAGAGACGGGGGCAGGGGAAGGCAGUGAGCUUCUGUCCAGAAACUGGAUCCCUUUCAAUGAAUGGAGCCACUGAAUUAACAGAAUGACCAGUGCCCGGAAACCCAAUAGUAAAAGAACAAAGAACUUAAUUUUGAUAAUGAAGAGGAUUAAUACUUAAUUCUUGUACUAUUACAGAUUUGUUCCUCUGACUAAAAGAUUAAAUAAUCCAGUCUUUUUCUUUAUGAAAAUAAAUAGCAUCAUAAAAUAUGUAGAUUACAUUUAAUGUAAGAUUUUUUUUUUUUUUGAAAAACAGACUGUAAGAAACUUAAGCUAGUAUUAUUAAAAUUAUUUCUAGAAUGGAGUCUUCUAGAACUGAAAAACAAAAUCAUUAUUAAGUAAAUCACCAAAUAUGCAAUGCUGAUGACACAGCCAGGCUCUAUAAUAAAUUUGAAAUACUUUAAACAAUCAUGUAACUGAUUUAAUAAAAAAAAAAAAAUAGAAAGCAUUCACCAUUGCCUCAAUGUUUUAUUGGCAUGAAUGACUGCUGUAGAUUAGGAAAAUUCGCCAAUGUAUUCAUUUACAAGUUUCAUUUAUGUCUCUGAAAAGUAAAUUUGAAGGCUAUUAGGGAGAAACUGAAUUGGAAUUAAUGCUUUGUAUAUUUGAAAUACAAACAUGAACAUCUAAAAAUAAAAUAUUUAAAAAUAAA